UACGUAGGAUGCGAGCGUUGUCCGGAUUUACUGGGCGUAAAGAGCUUGUAGGCGGGAAUGCACGUCUUCGAUGAAAUUGCACGGCUUAACCGUGCAGCUAUUGGAGAUACGGUAUUUCUUGAGGGCAGAAGAGGAGAACGGAAUUCCCAGUGUAGCGGUGAAAUGCGUAGAUAUUGGGAAGAACACCGGCGGCGAAGGCGGUUCUCUGGUCUGUCACUGACGCUAAAGAGCGAAGGCGUGGGUAGCGAAC
rnacentral:rRNA from 1 species